rnacentral:rRNA from 1 species
AUCGCGGAUCAGCAUGCCGCGGUGAAUACGUUCCCGGGCCUUGUACACACCGCCCGUCACACCAUGAGAGCCGGUAACACCCGAAGUCAGGAGCCUAACCGCAAGGAGGGCGCUGCCGAAGGUGGGAUUGGUAAUUGGGGUGAAGUCGUAACAAGGUAAC